rnacentral:miRNA from 1 species
UCCGGCGAGGCCUGGCCCGGCAGC